CGCGUGCGCUGCCUCAACAUUGACCAGCAUAAAUAUGUUAUCGAUUAAAUAUGGAAAGACCCACGAUUCUGACUUGAAUGCCUUUGUUCUGUUCAUGUUUGAUAUGGACCGUCAACAAAUGCAGGUUGUUUUUU